AAGACCUUUAAUCAAGUACAGAGAUGCUUGCAAGGUUGCAAUAAAAGGAUAUGUGUAUAGGAUUGAAACUACACAUCUACCUCUUUGCGACCAGCAAAGAGGUUUUUAUAUA
rfam:Gracilibacillus boraciitolerans JCM 21714 DNA, contig:contig_1.